rnacentral:misc_RNA from 1 species
GGAUGUGUCACAUGAUCACACUUCUGCUCGAACAAGAAUUUUUAAAUGGCUGUGACAAUUACUGAUUUACGUAUUACUGACGACCACACUUCAAGAACUGCUGCUGAAGUGUUGUCGAACCUGCAGCUUGAUCAAGGUUCACCAGACGCUAAACAGAAAUGCGAUAUGCUAUUUAGAGACCUUGAUUUUCCAAGUGAACAUCAAAACGAAGAGGACUACAGUCAGUUUGUUUUUAAUGGCCAGUGUUUGAUACUGGGUGACUCCUGGGCUGGAAAAACGAGCUUAGUGAACUCUCUCACUAAAAAGCCGUUUGACAGUGAAGAGUCAAGUACGCUGGGAGUCCACAGAAACUCGGUAGACCGGGAGUGGCAAAAGACAAGCCUCGAAUUCGGAGAUUUUGCUCGAUUCGGAAAAGCUGUUCGUUCCGUAAGAGCUCUAAUUUCAUCAGAAGGAUACGUAGCUUUUGAAAACGUAACAUCAAAACUAUCUUCUUUUUUUAUUUGGUCGCUGUAUUUGUUUUUUUCAGUGCUAGUAUGGGAGUUAACGAAUCCAUUUAUUCUUUUAAUAGUGCUACAAAUUACUCUUUUACUUGGCAUUCUGCCUCCAUGCCCUCUUCAUUUCGCAAUAGGUCUCCUGUUUGCUCAUUUAGCGGGCGGUGUUUUUAAAGGUAUGAACUGUUGCUGUACAGGGUUACCGUGCAUUGGACGUAAACAUUUAGAUUUGCUUUAUUACAAAUUUAUGGUAACUAUGUUACGCCUUUUUUACCUUAGUUCCCUCACUGGCAAAUGUAUUGAUUACUUCUUAGUACCCCUAGAGAAGAAGUGGUUACGUUGGCGUAUUCAGAGGCGUCGGGGUGAUAUUAUUUUUAAAAGUUCUCUUCCGGGACAAGUGAAAGUCUACAAUUACAGACAAGUUUUCUCUCCGGAAUUAAACUUUUAUGCGAUAGGAUCUUUGAUUAACGGAAUUGGUCUAGGUCUCAGUGCUGAAUUGUUGAUCGAUAUGUCUAUUCUCGGUUAUUGUGAAAUUCUUCAUUACUGUGCACUACUAUGCUGUGUUUUGGUCUAUCAGUUCUUUGGUUCAUUCGUUCAUUGUGUAAGGGAAGUCAUUUCAUGGAGGGAAUUGUAAGCCCUAUUUUAUCUAUUUGUAUAUUCGAAAAUACGCAGUAUAAUUGGAGAUCAUCUUUUCCAAUGUUUUUGUAUGUAGCAAUGCUUGCAGGAUGUGCCUGUUGUGCAAGAAUCUUCCAUACAAAUUCUGAAUCAAACUUUGUUACUCGUAGCUACAAUGAUGUCUUGGUACAAAAGGUAACACUGAAUUACCAAGAAUUAAGACAGGCUUUCAAUGCCAAGUUUUCAAGUCUCACAUUGAGCAUUCUAGACUUUGGAGGGGAUUAUAAAGAACAUUUUGCAUACCAUCAUCUCUUCUACAGAAGUCAAGCAAUGUAUGUUGUUGUCUUUGACUUGACACAUUUUACUGCUGGCAAUUUCCAAAAUAUAAAAGCAAACCUCCAAAGAAUUUGUUUCUGGUUGGAAUCCAUCCGUGGUAAAGUAGCGACAAAGACACCAAUGUUUCUUGUUGGGACACACAGAGGAAACAUGAGUAAGGCCUGCCUUGGUGAUUUGAAUAAACAUCUGCAACAGAGCCUUUGGAAAACCUUUUCUGAUGAUCUGAUGAUGAAUGAAGAAGAUAAGUUGAUGUAUUUUCCUGUUGAAAACAAAUAUGGAAUUCAUGAUCAAGGAAUUAAAAAUCUUCAAAGGAAACUGAUCCACAUAGCUGAGGAAUACCAAACAACUUUGGGAUGCACAGUUCCAUUUUCAUGGAUUAAAAUUCAAGAUGCAAUCAUUAAUUUGUGGGAGGAUCACAAAGCAAAGUUCUGUGUAUCCCUGGAGCAUUUUCCAAAUUCAUUUAGUCACUUUAUUUGCAGCAACUGGUCCAAGGAAACUUUGAAGUAUUUUCAUUAAAAAGGCAUUGUGAUUUACAUUGACAAAGGUGAGAAUUCAGUGAUUUCUAAGUGGGUUCUUCUGAAGCCAUCACUUCUAGUUGACAUCACAAUUCAGCUGAUCACUCCAAGGACAGAUGAUGAAUUAUUUUCACAACAUGGAUUCAGGCGUGAUUGGACAUUGCUACACAACAAAGGAAUGCUUACAAAUUCCCUCUUGAGGCACAUUCUUGCUAGAAUCCAAGAAAAUGAAGUAGCAAUGACAGGCUUUCUUGAGGAGUAUGGCAUUAUUUGUCCUUUAUUUUACAUGGUUGACAAUGACAUGACCGAGGCAACAGUAACACAUUUUGUUCCUGCACUGCUUCCAGUUUCAGUGGAAGGGAACAAAUCAGUUUGGAUUGAUCAUCCCACAGACAAGAGGCUGUAUGUGUUCUUUGAGAGAUUUCUGCCAGAGUCUCUUUUCCACCGUCUUUUAUCACGUGCUCACCAACUUAACAAGGAAUCCAUCUUCAAGGGCCAGCCUUUAAUAAGCAGGAAUAUUGGCAGGUUUUGGCUGACACCCACUCAGUCCUACAGGCUGCUGUAUCUUAAGGAGGAGGAUAUAAUCGAAGUGACAUUUAGCUUCAGAUGUGACGCAGAAAAUUUGCAUCCUUCAAUUGUGUUGAGUCAAGUGUUUGGCAUGGUCAAAUGGCUCUGUUGGGGGCACUUUCCACAUGUCAAGUUUCACUGUGGUCCUGCCUGUCCAUCAGAGAAUUGUCCUGGACAUCAAAGAGACCAUAUAUCACAUCCAGGUGUUCAAAAGUCAAUCUCAAGACGCCAUGUUAUUCAUGUGUUACCAAAGAAAGAAUCUUCAUUUUACUGCGCCAACCAAAAUUUUGAAGACGAUCUAAAGGAGUGGCAAGAGCAAGGUGGACUAGCAGGUGUGCAACCUGUAUGUGUACAUAGUGCCUGUGUUACUUCUUUGUGAAUGAGAUUGAAGUUCUUUUUUCACUUGGUGGUGGGGCUGAGACCACUCAGAGUGAGAAGUUUGAGGAUCUCUAUUCAAACUAGACUUUUGAAUUUACACUUUCUAAAAUUUGUUUAAUGCAGAUCACCCCCUCUUAAAUUUCAAUUUUCUUUAAAAGCGGCUAGAGCUGAAUUUAUCAUUCAGCCAAUUCAUCAAAGUAAUAGCUACACAAAAGUCAUAUUUAUUUGCUACUUAGAUAAACUUGUCUGACAGUUUAAAACAGUCAUGUUUCAUCUAUGAUAAAGACUUCUAUUCUCAUAAUUCAUGAACACAGUCCACAGACUACAUAGACUGUAGAAUUGGAGAACACUAAGAACUUACUUAGACUGUUAAAAGCGAUUUUAAAAGCGUUUAUCAAUACUUGACCACAGCCAUCGACCGAAAUGGCUCCACUCAAACACCUCCUUCCUCUAAUAUCACUUCACAGGGUAAACAAUACUUUUAUAAGUUACCUUAUUUAGGCCAUUUUUCUACUGUAGCUCAAAACAAAAUACGUGGCCUUGUUAGUUGUUUUUGUAAUGAUCUUGACAUUGAAUUAAU